GACAGAGGGUGCGAACGUUGCUCGGAAUUACUGGGCGUAAAGCGUGUGUAGGCGGCCACGCAAGUCGGAUGUGAAAGCCCUGGGCUCAACCCAGGAAGUGCACCCGAUACUGCGACGGCUUGAGUACCGGAGAGGUUGGUGGAAUUCUCGGUGUAGAGGUGAAAUUCGUAGAUAUUGGCUGGAACACCGGUGGCGAAAGCGGCUCUCUGGCCCGGUUCUGACGCUGAGGCGCGAAAGCGUGGGGAGCAAACAGG
rnacentral:rRNA from 1 species